rnacentral:rRNA from 1 species
UUUUCAAGCUCCAUGGAGGAAAACCGCCAUGGCGCGUUGUAGACUAAAGGGGUGUUAUCUUGGGCAGGCCGAGUAUAGAUCCGUUGGAACACGGUAUCAUAGAGGGUGAGAAUCCCGUCUGUGACUCGGAUUUCUGUUCAUAUACGUUACGCUUCCAAAGAGUCGGGUUGUUUGGGAAUGCAGCCCAAAAUGGGUGGUAAAUUUCAUCUAAGGCUAAAUAUUGGCACGAGACCGAUAGCGAACAAGUACCAUGAGGGAAAGGUGAAAAGAACUUUGAAAAGAGAGUCAAAAAGUACGUGAAACCGUUAAAAGGGAAACGAAUGGAGCUAGCAUUUGUGCUUCUCACAAUCAGUCGGUAGGCAGGUCACUGGUGGUUCAGGCAGGGUCCGUCUCAUUCGUGGGGUGGCAUGUCUGGGUYGCUGUGGGGUCUGUUUGCCGGUGCACUUGUGGGGCGGCACAGGCCAACAUCAGUUUUGGAUGGCACAUAUAUGUCAGGGGAAGGUAGUUGCGGCGCUUCGGUGUCGUAAUGUUAUAACCCUUGGCAGGUGUGCUGGACGAGACUGAGGAGUAGCAGCGCGCAAAUCUUCGGAGUGUUACCGCUGGGGCUGCAGGUGCAGGGAGACUGUCUGCUUUCCACUUAACCGUGGGGGUAGGCAGUGCUUUGUGCCGUAAUUCAUUACGCCUUUCCAGUUCGCUGGAAGGGUGUGGUGGAGAUGAGCAGCCUUAUACGGGACCUACCCAGACCACGCGCUUGUGAUGUUGGCGAAAAAUGGCUUCAUCCGACCCGUCUUGAAACACGGACCAAGGAGUCUAACAUAUACGCGAGUCUUUGGGUUGAAAGCCCGCAGGCAUAAUGAAAGUAAAGGCAUACUCGGUGUGCUGAGGUGAGAAACCGUCGCCCYUCGGGGUGCGCGGAUGCAUCAUCGACCGAUCCGGAUGGCUCUGUCCUGAAAGAUUUGAGUAAGAGCGUAUCUGUUGGGACCCGAAAGAUGGUGAACUAUGCCUGAACAGGGUGAAGUCUGAGGAAACUCAGAUGGAAGCUCGUAGCGAUUCUGACGUGCAAAUCGAUCGUCUGAUUUGGGUAUAGGGGCGAAAGACUAAUCGAACUAUCUAGUAGCUGGUUCCCUCCGAAGUUUCCCUCAGGAUAGCUGGAACUAACGACAAAUGCAGUUUUAUCAGGUAAAGCGAAUGAUUAGAGGCCUUGGGGUUGAAAUAACCUCAACCUAUUCUCAAACUUUAAAUAGGUAAGAAGCCUGGCUUGCUUAAUUGAAGCCAGGCAAACUGAAUGCAAGUUUCAAGUGGGCCAUUUUUGGUAAGCAGAACUGGCGAUGCGGGAUGAACCGAACGCAAAGUUAAAGUGCCAAAGUUCACGCUCACCUAGAACCCAGAAAAGGUGUUGGCUGAUGAAGACAGCAGGACGGUGGCCAUGGAAGUCGGAACCCGCUAAGGAGUGUGUAACAACUCACCUGCCGAAUCAGCCAGCCCUGAAAAUGGAUGGCGCUCAAGCGUGACACUCAUACUUUGCCGUUGCUUUUUUUUUAUAACAAAGGAUCGCAACGAGUAGGAGGGCGUGGAGGUC